rnacentral:rRNA from 1 species
UACGUAGGGUGCAAGCGUUGUCCGGAAUUAUUGGGCGUAAAGGGCUCGUAGGCGGCCAACUAAGUCAGACGUGAAAUCCCUCGGCUUAACCGGGGAACUGCGUCUGAUACUGGAUGGCUUGAGUGUGGGAGAGGGAUGCGGAAUUCCAGGUGUAGCGGUGAAAUGCGUAGAUAUCUGGAGGAACACCGGUGGCGAAGGCGGCAUCCUGGACCAUUACUGACGCUGAGGAGCGAAAGCCAGGGGAGCAAACGGG